ensembl:lncRNA
CCUCUCUGGUCUCUCUUAUCCCUCUGCCUUCCUCUGAUCUAUACAGUAGCCAGAGGGAUCUUUAAAAAUGUAAGUCAGACCAUGUCACUCCCAGCUUAGAACCCACCAAAGGCUCCCACUGCACUUUUCAUAAACCCUGAUGCCACACCUGGUCUGCAAAGCCCUGUCCUGUCUGCUUCCCCUUUGAACCAAAAGUCACGUCCACAGUGGCAUGCUCCACACCCUCUCCUUUGCUUGACUGGUUCCUUCUGGUCUUUCAGGCUUCAGUUCAGAUGUCACCUCCUCAGAGAGGCCCUCCCUGACUACCAUAACACGUCACCUCCCUGAAAUCCAGUCUCACGUGGCCUGUUUUAGUAUCUUAUGGCUCUUUAGAAUCUCCGAAAUGAUUCUGUUCAACUAUUUGUUUACUUGAUUAUGGUCUGUCUCCCUGAAUGAGAAUGUAAGCUCUAAGAGGCUGAUGUCCCCAUGGUCUAAACUGCGCCUGGUACUUAGUACGCACUAGAUAAACAUCUGAAAGAAUGUUGUGGUUGGUGUGAUCUGGAUCAAGAAGUCCAGCCCUUCUCUACCUCAGGUUCCUUUCUCUGUUGGGCUCUUGUCUCCUCUCUGCCUCCCAGGGAGAGCUCCGGAUGAGAUCAGAGAUGGCAAAAGCGUUCCUCCGGGGGUGGGAGGGCUCGAUGCCCGCCUGGAGAUGAGGUCAGCGUGGCAGGCACCUCUCCGCUGUGCAGGAGGCAAGGAGAGUUGCAAGGAUCGUUUUGACUAGACCCCAGCCCCGAAUGAGAGCCUAGACGGGCUGGGGAGGGUGCGCAACCCCUUCCUCCGUUGGGAAGCUCCUCUCGGCGGGGCCUCCAGUUCCCCCCUCCCCGGGGAGGCAGGUGGAGCUGCGUCCCCAUCUUUGUUCCCAUCUGGAGCGCGUUUGGCGCGGCGUGGCGGGGGCGGGGCUGCGCCCCCGCGGUGCCCGGAGAGACUGGCCCGCCCGCUUAUCUGAUCUGCGGCUAAUUGAAACUCCCUGCUUGCGAAGGUCAGCUCGGUCCCCUGACAGCUGCCGAGCCGAGCCGGGCCGGAUGGAAAACCCGGGCUGAAGUGUGCGCGGUGGGGGGCACGGCCUGGCCCCGGGGCGGCCAUCCGGUGGGGCAGGUGCGGCCUCAGCCCUGGGAGGGAGGGAGGGCAGGCAGGCCCGUUGCUAAUAGUGCUGGGGCAGGAGGGGGGUGGGGCGCGCACUGCGGGGAGUCCCGUCUCCAGGGUUCCGGGUGCGGAUGUGGCUGGCUAGGAGGUCCCGCCCGUCGCGCCCCAGGCAGGCCCAGGCUCAGCAAAGCAGGCACGUGUCCCCUCAACCUCCGGCCUGAGACUAGGCUAAGAUGCUGGGAAGCUCCCAAGGUGUAACUCGGCCUUUGGGCUGACCGCGCCCUUGAGCCACGCUUUUUGGGCCUCGGCUUUUGCAGUCUGUAAAAAAUAACCCUAGUGACAGCUACCAUUUUUCAGAACCACGUGCCAAACAUAGUGUUAAACGUUUAACGUACUUUUUCUCAAGCCACGCGACAAUUCCAUUUUGCUGAUGAGCAAGGUGAGACGCAGAGAGGUUGCGACUUGCCCGAAGUCACACAGCUAGCAAGAUACCUAGGCGGGACUCCAGGUUCUUUACGGGUGGUCUUGUUUUAGCAAGAGGUCUGGAGUGGUGCACCUAUAUAGGUCGAUCGCACAGGGCAUUCACUAGUUCCGUGAGCCCCUUGGUGGCGUCUCGCUGCACGUGUUCUAGUCUUGGAGCUGGGCACGUGUAUCUUGGCGCACUCCCUCGUGCCAAAGCCUGGGGACAGAGGCAUAGCCUAGCGCACUGGUGCCCAGGUGCGCCCUUCCCGGUUAGGACCCGGCAGAGUCAUAUGGUCUGAGCCGCGGGCUGAGUGGAGCGGGGGCGGGGAACUCAGAGUAGAGUCCACGCGGGCCGAGGCGCCUGGGAGGCCGCAAUCCCGGCGCCUGCAGCCGGCGAGGCUCGGGGUGACGCGAGGGGGCCCAGCUACCGUGACCUCCUCCGCGGUUUCCAUGGAGACGGUGCACU